GGCAGGUGCGGUGGGGCAGCUGGUGUUGUGAAUCAGGCCGGCGCCCAUCGGAAAACGGCUACUUCACAACACCAGGGCCGCACCUCACCCCAGG
rnacentral:pre_miRNA from 1 species